rnacentral:rRNA from 1 species
GUGGGGAAUAUUGGACAAUGGGGGGAACCCUGAUCCAGCCAUGCCGCGUGUGUGAAGAAGGCCUUUUGGUUGUAAAGCACUUUAAGCGAGGAGGAGGCUACCGAGAUUAAUACUCUUGGAUAGUGGACGUUACUCGCAGAAUAAGCACCGGCUAACUCUGUGCCAGCAGCCGCGGUAAUACAGAGGGUGCAAGCGUUAAUCUGAUUUACUGGGCGUAAAGCGCGCGUAGGUGGCCAAUUAAGUCAAAUGUGAAAUCCCCGAGCUUAACUUGGGAAUUGCAUUCGAUACUGGUUGGCUAGAGUAUGGGAGAGGAUGGUAGAAUUCCAGGUGUAGCGGUGAAAUGCGUAGAGAUCUGGAGGAAUACCGAUGGCGAAGGCAGCCAUCUGGCCUAAUACUGACACUGAGGUGCGAAAGCAUGGGGAGCAAACAGGAUUAGAAACCCGUGUAGUCA